CACGUAGGGGCCAAGCGUUGUCCGGAUUUAUUGGGCGUAAAGAGCUCGUAGGCGGUUCGACAAGUCGGGUGUGAAAACUCCGGGCUCAACCCGGAGACGCCACCCGAUACUGUCGUGACUGGAGUCCGGUAGGGGAGUGGGGAAUUCCUGGUGUAGCGGUGAAAUGCGCAGAUAUCAGGAGGAACACCGGUGGCGAAGGCGGUUCUCUGGGCAUUACCUGACGCUGAGGAGCGAAAGUGUGGGGAGCGAACAGG
rnacentral:rRNA from 1 species